AUUGAACGCUGGCGGCAGGCCUAACACAUGCAAGUCGAGCGGAUGAAGGGAGCUUGCUCCUGGAUUCAGCGGCGGGCGGGUGAGUAAUGCCUAGGAAUCUGCCUGGUAGUGGGGGAUAACGUCCGGAAACGGGCGCUAAUACCGCAUACGUCCUGAGGGAGAAAGUGGGGGAUCUUCGGACCUCACGCUAUCAGAUGAGCCUAGGUCGGAUUAGCUAGUUGGUGGGGUAAAGGCCUACCAAGGCGACGAUCCGUAACUGGUCUGAGAGGAUGAUCAGUCACACUGGAACUGAGACACGGUCCAGACUCCUACGGGAGGCAGCAGUGGGGAAUAUUGGACAAUGGGCGAAAGCCUGAUCCAGCCAUGCCGCGUGUGUGAAGAAGGUCUUCGGAUUGUAAAGCACUUUAAGUUGGGAGGAAGGGCGGUAAGUUAAUACCUUGCUGUUUUGACGUUACCAACAGAAUAAGCACCGGCUAACUUCGUG
rnacentral:rRNA from 1 species